rnacentral:rRNA from 1 species
ACGAUCUAGAACGAACACGCCGCGUGAGCAGAUGAAGGCCUUCGGGUCGUAAAGCUCUGUUGUCAGGGAAGAACAAGUACCGGAGUAACUGCCGGUACCUUGACGGUACCUGACCAGAAAGCCACGGCUAACUACGUGCCAGCAGCCGCGGUAAUACAC